rnacentral:rRNA from 1 species
UACGGAGGGUCCAAGCGUUAUCCGGAAUCAUUGGGUUUAAAGGGUCCGUAGGCGGUCUUGUAAGUCAGUGGUGAAAGCCCAUCGCUCAACGGUGGAACGGCCAUUGAUACUGCAAGACUUGAAUUAUUGGGAAGCAACUAGAAUAUGUAGUGUAGCGGUGAAAUGCUUAGAGAUUACAUGGAAUACCAAUUGCGAAGGCAGGUUGCUGCCAAUAUAUUGACGCUGAUGGACGAAAGCGUGGGGAGCAAACAGG